UAAACGGUAGUAUACCAAUUUCUUAAUCACAGUAUGAUGUUACUUUGUUGACGUAAUUUACGACAUAACGACAUAACGGUAUCUCACUGGCGACAGUGACGCCAGUGAGAUACCGUAAAAAAAGCUACGGUGCGUUACCAUAAUUUGUCCAAGAGUAUUAUACCACAACAGCAAAAAACGGUAUCAUCCUGCAGAACAGUAAGCUACCGUAACACGGCGUCACGGUAUGACGCUGGCAACAGUGACGCCAGUAUGUUACCGUAAGGUGGAGAUGAAAAGUCUAACAGUGCAGCGUUGUCCUGUUCACCUCUGACCCGGGUGACCAGGGUCAGAGGUGAACAGAGAUGCGUAGGAGGCUUUCAGCUGCUCGUACGUGCAGCAUGUGUGAUAUUAAAUAUAUAUGCUUUCAAACAUAAACGCGACACCUCAGCAGCAGAGGGAUGAGCCUGACUGUCCCAGCCAGCAUCCUCCGUCCGCUCCCGUUACAUUCCUCAUCUUUCAGAGCGUGGAUCAGUUUUCCUGAGCGCUGACGGCCGGCUGCUUCGUCACACCCGCACCGGCGGACACAAUGGCAAAGUUCCUGACUCAGGAUCAGAUUAACGAGUUUAAGGAGUGUUUCUCGCUGUACGACCGCCAGCGAAAAGGCAAGAUCGAAGCCAAGGAGCUGAUAACAGUGAUGCGAUGCCUCGGGUCGAGCCCCACCCCCUCCGAGGUCCAGCGCCACCUCCUGAGCCACAACAUGGACCAGGAAGGAGAGCUGGACUUCUCCACCUUCCUGCGCAUCAUGCACCGGCAGCUCCAGCAGGAGGCGCCAGAGCAGGAGAUUUUGGAGGCCAUGAGGAUGGCCGACAAGGAGCAGAAAGGCUUCAUCCUGGCCUCUGAGCUGCGAGCCAAACUCACCGGGCUGGGAGAGAAACUGACGGACAAAGAGGAUCUGCCCAGACGUCUUUCUUCCAUCCACCUGCUCCAGGUGUUUGUGCCCGAGUCUUCCCAGGAGCUUUGCUGUUGGGGCAGUUUGCCCCUGGCUGGGUCUGCAAAGCCAAAUCAGUCCUGGGUGAGGGGCUAGCCUAAGCAUAGCUCGGAUGAAAGGUGAUACUAGUCCGUGGAUCAGGGUCCCACACUGGAGCCAGGCCUGAAGGAGCAGCUGGUCAUCAGGUUUCUGUACUUCAUGAGUUUUAUAUGUUAUUGGAAGAGUCCACUGCACAGCUGCACAGAGAACUCAAACAUGGCGAGAAUCGAGACGCAGUUUCAGUUUGAAGAAAACAUGUCUUGGUUUACUGAUAAAUGAUGAAAUUGCUCCUUCAGCACAGGCAUCGAGUGACGGAUGAACAAAACUGUGUUUUCCAGCAGUUUCAGUUAUUUUGGUCUCGGACUGAGUUCCAUUUAUUUUUGCUGAUUUCUAUGUUCACCAGCCGCACAGCUGUCACACUGCAGCAGCACAUGGUGCACACAGCUGUGGUCACUCAUCGUGAGCAUGAAUGUCAUUUUUUAAUGAUUUCUUUGAGCAGAUCUUUUUUCAGGGUGGACUUACUGUCCAGACGAGGUUAAAAGAUACAUACACCUGCACUAAUAUUUGGUUAAAGGCCUAAUCAGAUGUUUUUGGUAUCCAUCAACAACCCUCUGGAAUAAUCCUGGCUGAUGUUUGGCUGCUCUUAGAGUUCAUUUAGAUUAGUUGGUUUCCUGGUAUGGACCCGGCUUUAAGCGUUGUCCAUAAACUUUUGGAAAGACAUUCCAGAAGCUAAAUACUAAGCUGCUUUAUCCAAAACCAGUUCUGAUGUGUGUUUGGGAUCACUGUGCUGCUGGAACACCCGACUGUGUCCACGUUUCAGUUGUCCAGCUGCUGUUUUGAGGUGUAAUUGAAGAUUUUGGAGUCAGUCCUCCUUCAUCACUCCAUCCACUUUGUCUAAUGUACCAGAACCACAGCCCAGAGCAUGAUGCUACCACCACCAUGCUUCACAUGUGCAGUGUUCUCAGGUUUGAAAGCCUCAGCUUUGCUCCUCCAAUCAGCUCCAUCUUUGUCUUGUCUGACCAUCAAACUUUUCUCCAGAAGUCGUUUGGCUCGUCCACGUGGGCAGCUGCAAAUUUCAGUCGAGCUUGUUGAUUUUGGAGCAGGAGCUUCUUUCUUAGUCAGUCCAUGGAGAUGUGAGACUGGCUUCACUGUGGACAGUGAUGCUGUGACACUGUGACAGUUUGGGUCUUCUUCCAGACUUUCAUAAAGUGGCACAUCUGAAUAACUUGUUCAGAAAUGAUUCAUAGACCUUCACAACUUGUGGAAAUCUGCAGUUCUCGUUAGAACGACUCCAAGAACCUCAGAGAAGUCGGUCUGAUGAGUGCUGUCAAACAAACCUUUUUAAUCUAAAGUGUCAACCCACGAUCACCGAGAAGUUAACAGACACUGUGAACCUUCAGCUCCACUUAUUAAAGAUUAAAGUGAGUGUAUGAGAAUAUUUGAGCCUGUAUGCUUUUGACCAGCAGAGAAAAGCCAAAAAUAAAUUCAAUUGUUCCAUUGUUCAUCACACACAAUGGCAGUUGAGCUGCGUUCAGCUUGUUCAGCAAUAUUAUGUCUGGCAGUGGGUCUGACACUUGAGGCCAGGCCAAUAAGUCAGUUUGUCCAGAACAAUUCACGUUCAGAAGUGGCGACUUACUCCAGGUGAUGUUCAGAGGUGUACUAUAGUUGGCCUUGGACCAGAGGACUCUGUAGCCAGGAUGAGUUGCUAACAGACACCAACUUCUGUCCUCUGGUAUGCUGUAUGGCCACAGUCCAGAUGUAUAUGCAGACAACAGCAUAUGAGCACACACAUAGCAGUCCGUCCUAUUAUUCAAGUGAGCAGUUGUAUUCAUAAACUGCCACCAAAGGUUUGUAGAAUAGCCACGAGGGUAUUGGGUGUGGUUUCCUUGGACAUACAGGGUCUCCACUGCUGACCAUGAUGACAUCAAAGCCAUUACACCCAGCAGGGUAGACAACACUUUACCAGCCAUUCUGAUGAGUACCUGUGGCUCAGUUGGUUUCUUCACCGGAUUGAGACGAGGGGCCCUGGAGGCUUUCCCUCCCCUUUGUACCCGGUCCUCCUGCCACUUACUCCGAGCUGGCCUGGAUGUGUGUCACCUUUUUGCAGUGGCUUUGGUGUAUCCAGGUGGGUCGCUCUGCGAUCUUCCCAGCUGUUGGUGUUGUCAGCAGAGCCUGGUAUGGUCAGUCCCACCGUGGCUUCGACCAGCACUUCCUCUUUAUGACCUUUAUCAGCACCCAGUCCCCUGGCUUCAGACGUUCGUCCUGUACAGAAACAGAAUCAUCUGGCAGAUUAUUUGCACUCAUGACUUCUUUGCUUUUCAGCAUUUUAAUCAUCCAGUCUGCUAGUGUGUUUUCUUCUUCUGCGUUAUCAUUAUCAAUACAAAACACUGGAACUCUAAAUGGCCUGCCAUAUAUUAUUUCAAAGGGAGUUAGGCCAUUAUCAGUUGGCGUGAUUCUCAUAUACAUUUUCACCAGCUCAAUGCAGUCUACCCAUGUUCUGCCUGUUUCCUCCAUUGUUUUCCUGAGUCUCAGCUUUACUGUGCCAUUAGUCCUUUCAACCAAUCCUGCACUUUGUGGGUGGUAUGAGCAGUGGUUUUUCAGUGUUAUCCCCAGAUGUUGUGACAUUUUCUCAAUUACUUCAUUCACAAAAUGAGGACCAUUGUCAUUGUAAAUAGUCUGGGGAAUCCCAUGCUCUGGGAUCACAUUUUUGCAUAUUGCCUUAGCCACUGAAAUAGCAUCUGCUUUCUUAGUGGGGACAAUUUCAACCCACUUUGAGAACGGGCACACAAUUACCAGGCAGUACCUGUAGGUGUUACAGUUAGACAACUCAAUAAAAUCCAUAUGGAUUACUUCAAAUGGGUAGCUGGGUCUGGGAAACCUUCCUCUUCUAGGUCAGAGGUUCCCCUGAGCAUUAUGUUUACAACAUAUUAAACAUGCUUUACAGAAAUGUUUUGAAUAAGCAUUGAAUCUCAGUGUGAAAAACUGCCGUUCGACUGCUGCCACCAUCCCGGCUGUGGAGACAUGGCAGAGCCCUGGGCUCAAAAUUGCAGCAGUCCUAUAUAAGUUUUUAGGCAAUAUAUGUCAGGGUCCUGGGUCUGAGCGACCCAGGAUCCCUGAGCAGUUAUGGCCUAAUAUUAUAAUAUAUAUUUUGUAUUGCUGUCCCUGGUUCUCCCUGCUUGUAUGUGUGUGUGUGUGUGUGUCUGAGCACUCGUUUAUAGGCGCCUUCAGGCCUGGUGGGUGUGGCCCUGCUAGGGGACUGGCCACACCCAAAGCCACACACCUGCUCCUGAUCAGGUCUCGUCGGGGGAGCUACUUAAGAGAGUCUUGGAGCUCCCACCGACGUGGGAUCAUUGCGUGAGACUCCACGAGGAGCGUGGGAGGCCCGAAGAGCAGCGAGCACCGGGAGUGCAGACACAGGAGCAGAGAUCACAAGGAGGACACGACACGGGAGUCUUGGGAAACAUGGGGAUUUACUGUUGUUUUGCACCAUACACUGUAAAUAAACGCACUGUUCGCACACAGAGCACCGUGCCUGGGUCCUCAUUCCCUGCACCCCCCACGGUCUGCCAUGCCGAACCGUGACAAUAUAGGUUUAUCACAAAGAUAGUAGACAUCACCUCUCAGGCUUGCUCCUUUAGUGAGCCACAGCUGCUUCUCAGCUGGAAGUGAGUGUGACUGCAUGUCUGCUAACACAUCAUGUGUAAUGGGCAUAGUUUGCUCCUGAGAUGUCAGAAUAUGAACCCCAUGUGUUCCAAGGGCCGCUUCCUUUGCAAUUUUAUCUGCAAAGGCAUUGCCUAGUACAAUGGGGUCAGUGCCACGUGUGUGUGCUGCACAUUUACAAACCGCAACUUUACUGGGCAGUAAGACUGCUUUCAACAGGUCCUGUAAAAGUGUCGCAUGCUCCACAGGUUUCCCUGUUGAGGUUGUCAUGGCAAAGAAAUGAAGUGUAGCAUAUGCAUACUGACUGUCUGUAUAUAUAGUCACUACCUGCCCCUCAGCUGCUUUGCAGGCUUCCGUCAAAGCCACUAUCUCAGCUGCUUGGGCAGACAUGGAAUGUGAUAACUGCCCAGCACGGAUGACCUGUACAUCAUCCACAACAGCAAAGCCUGUUUUAGUCUUUCCCUCUGCCGUUUUAAAACUUGAACCAUCAAUAAACCAAACCUUGCCCUCAGUGAGUGGUAUGUCCGUUAAAUCACUUCUAGGUUUGCACUGUGUUUCCACAUGCUCACUACACACAUGUGGUGUACCCUCUUCCUCUGUGGGUAACAGUGUAGAGGGAUUCAAAGUUGUACACCGCUUAAUAGUUUUGUGUGGCUGUGAGAGCAACAGUGACAUUAAAGAUAAGUGUCUUGCAGGUGACAAGAAUGUCAUCUUAGUUUGCAGCAGUAAGACAUCUACCUCAUGUGGAACUAGCAGGGUCAAAGGGUGAAACAAAACAAUUUCACCAGAACACUUUACGGCCUCAGCGGCUGCACACAGAUCACACACAGUGAGGUAAGGCACAAGCCACUGAAUCCAGCCUCUUAGAAUAAUAAGCUACUGGCUUCAUUCUACCUCCACACUUUUGUGCUAACAUGGACGUCAUAAAAUGUCCUUUACAAUCAACAGUUUUAACAAAAGGCUUGUUAUAAUCUGGAAGUCCUAGAACUGAUGGUCCUGUCAGCAUCUGUUUCAGCAUGCACAGAGCUUGCUCCCCCUCAGGGGUCCAACUCAAACUUUCUGACAUAGCUAAAGGUUUACUGUACAUCAUAUCUAACAAUGGCUGCGCAAUUUCAGCGUAAUGGGGCAUCCACAAUCGACAGAAAUUUAGCAAACCUAGGAAUUGCAUCAUGUGUUUCUUUGUCUCUGGCCUAGGUGCCGCCAAAAUAGCUGUUUUCCUCUCUGGAUGUAUGCUCUUCCCUGCUGCACUAAGCAGAUGUCCUAAAAAUUUCACUUCUGUCUUUACCCACUGUAACUUUGAAAGUGAGGCCUUGUUACCUGUUUCAGCUAAGUGAGUCAGCAAUGCCAAUGACAUGUCUCUACAAUUCUUCUCUGAAUUGGAUGCAAUUAAAAUGUCAUCGACAUAUACCAACAUUUGUGAAUGUGAUGGAAUCACAAAAUCAGACAGACAAUUUGUAAUAUUCUGUGUGAAGAUUGUAGGAGUGUCACAAAAACCUUGCAGCAAUCUGGUGUAUGUGUAUUUUUUGCCUUGAUACGUGAAACCAAACCAGCCUUGUGAAUUCUCAUGCACUGGUAUGGAAAAGAAAGCAUUACUUAAAUCUACCACAGUGAAGUGUGUCUUGUCUGGCUUAAGCUGAUUUAACAAAGUGUGGGGGUCGGGGACACAUGGAGCUAUACUCUCCACUGCCUGGUUUACAGCUCUUAAGUCUUGAAUCAUGCGCCACGACUGUGAAUCAGCCUUUCUAACUGGGAAGAUGGGUGUGUUACAUACUGCCUGUGGAGCUUCAACUAGUAUCCCUGCUUUAAUCAUAUCCUCUAUUACUGGUUUAAUGCCUUCCACUGCAUCAGGCUUCAAGGGAUAUUGCUUCACUCUUGGCCUAAAAGAUGUUUUGGGCUUUAUUACUACUGGACUCGCUGUUGUCAUUAACCCCAUGUCAGUCUUCCCAGUAGACCAGAGCUUCUCUGGGACCUGUUUAAGCUCCGGGUGAUCUCUGACAUCUACAACAUAUCAUUCUGCUGUGUCAUUCUCACCCCCCUCUAAGUGUGUUUGUGGUGUAGUAUGUGUCACCCAUCCCAGCUUUUUACAAAAGAUGCUGCACUGCAUGUCUGUCUCCCAACCCCCUCCAGCUUGCUGCCACAUUCCAACACUCUCCUCCUUCCUCACUAGAGAUGCUAAGUCUGUCCACUCAGCUGUGCCACUCUUUGUCAGUGAAACAUGUGGUGUCUGCCCUGUAAAAAGUUGUUGUGCAGCUUCAGAAAGGAUCACACUACAUCCAGCCAUGGUUUCACCAUCAGUGUAUGUCAGAAGAAAAUUGUGUAUAUGUUAUCAGCUACAUGAAAUGUGCUCUUUUAGGAUCACUGAGCAAAUGUCUAUGUGACUUUUCACCUAAUAACUUUUGUGAUGAUAAACUUGUUUACCAACUAGCAGCUUCCUCUCUUCUAGAACAUACAGAUAGAAAAGGGGAACCUCAGCUCUGA